UACGAAGGUGGCAAGCGUUGUUCGGAAUCACUGGGCUUAAAGCGCACGUAGGCGGUCCUUCAAGCGUCUUGUGAAAUCCCUCGGCUCAACCGAGGAAUUGCUGGGCGAACUGUAGGACUUGAGGCAGGUAGGGGUGCAUGGAACUCUUGGUGGAGCGGUGAAAUGCGUAGAUAUCAAGAGGAACGCCGGUGGCGAAAGCGAUGCACUGGGCCUGCCCUGACGCUGAGGUGCGAAAGCUAGGGUAGCGAACGGGAUUAGAUACCCCGGUAGUCCUAGCCGUAAACGAUGCCUACUAGGUCGAAGGCACUCUGACGUGUUUUCGGCCGAAACUAAAGCGUUAAGUAGGCCGCCUGGGGAGUACGGUCGCAAGGCUAAA
rnacentral:rRNA from 1 species